CAGCGAGAGGUGCUUGCACCUUUCAAGCGAGUGGCGAACGGGUGAGUAACACGUGGAUAACCUGCCUCAAGGCUGGGGAUAACAUUUGGAAACAGAUGCUAAUACCGAAUAAAACUUAGUAUCGCAUGAUAUCAAGUUAAAAGGCGCUACGGCGUCACCUAGAGAUGGAUCCGCGGUGCAUUAGUUAGUUGGUGGGGUAAAGGCUUACCAAGACGAUGAUGCAUAGCCGAGUUGAGAGACUGAUCGGCCACAUUGGGACUGAGACACGGCCCAAACUCCUACGGGAGGCUGCAGUAGGGAAUCUUCCACAAUGGGCGCAAGCCUGAUGGAGCAACGCCGCGUGUGUGAUGAAGGCUUUCGGGUCGUAAAGCACUGUUGUAUGGGAAGAAAUGCUAAAAUAGGGAAUGAUUUUAGUUUGACGGUACCAUACCAGAAAGGGACGGCUAAAUACGUGCCAGCAGCCGCGGUAAUACGUAUGUCCCGAGCGUUAUCCGGAUUUAUUGGGCGUAAAGCGAGCGCAGACGGUUGAUUAAGUCUGAUGUGAAAGCCCGGAGCUCAACUCCGGAAUGGCAUUGGAAACUGGUUAACUUGAGUGUUGUAGAGGUAAGUGGAACUCCAUGUGUAGCGGUGGAAUGCGUAGAUAUAUGGAAGAACACCAGUGGCGAAGGCGGCUUACUGGACAACAACUGACGUUGAGGCUCGAAAGUGUGGGUAGCAAACAGGAUUAGAUACCCUGGUAGUCCACACCGUA
rnacentral:rRNA from 1 species